GAUGAACGCUGGCGGCGUGCCUAAUACAUGCAAGUCGAGCGAACAGACGAGGAGCUUGCUCCUCUGAUGUUAGCGGCGGACGGGUGAGUAACACGUGGAUAGCCUACCUAUAAGACUGGGAUAACUUCGGGAAACCGGAGCUAAUACCGGAUAACAUGUUGAACCGCAUGGUUCAACAGUGAAAGACGGUCUUGCUGUCACUUAUAGAUGGAUCCGCGCCGCAUUAGCUAGUUGGUAAGGUAACGGCUUACCAAGGCAACGAUGCGUAGCCGACCUGAGAGGGUGAUCGGCCACACUGGAACUGAGACACGGUCCAGACUCCUACGGGAGGCAGCAGUAGGGAAUCUUCCGCAAUGGGCGAAAGCCUGACGGAGCAACGCCGCGUGAGUGAAGAAGGUCUUCGGAUCGUAAAACUCUGUUAUUAGGGAAGAACAAAUGUGUAAGUAACUAUGCACGUCUUGACGGUACCUAAUCAGAAAGCCACGGCUAACUACGUG
rnacentral:rRNA from 1 species